CCAAUAGCGUAUAUUAAAGUUGUUGCAGUUAAAAAGCUCGUAGUUGAACUUCGGGGUUUACCCAUUGGUCAGGCUUAAUUGUCUGUACUGGUGAGAUAAAUCUCUACCUUCUGAGGAACUUUCAUGUCAUUAAUUUGGUGUGAUUGGAAAUCAGGACUGUUACUUUGAAAAAAUUAGAGUGUUUAAAGCAGGCUAACGUCUGAAUACAUUAGCAUGGAAUAAUGAAAUAGGACGGACUGAUUCUAUUUCGUUGGUUUCUAGGAUCACCGUAAUGAUUAAUAGGGAUAGUUGGGGGCAUUAGUAUUCAAUUGUCAGAGGUGAAAUUCUUGGAUUUAUUGAAGACUAACUACUGCGAAAGCAUUUGCCAAGGAUGUUUUCAUUAAUCAAGAACGAAAGUUAGGGGAUCGAAGACGAUCAGAUACCGUCGUAGUCUUAACCAUAAACUAUGCCGACUAGGGAUCGGACGAAGUUAAUUUUAUAAUGACGCGUUCGGCACCUUACA
rnacentral:misc_RNA from 1 species